rnacentral:rRNA from 1 species
ACGAACGCUGGCGGCGUGCUUAACACAUGCAAGUCGAGCGGUAAGGCCUUUCGGGGUACACGAGCGGCGAACGGGUGAGUAACACGUGGGUGAUCUGCCCUGCACUCUGGGAUAAGCCUGGGAAACUGGGUCUAAUACUGGAUAUGACCUGCUCUCGCAUGGGGGUGGGUGGAAAGAUUUAUCGGUGCAGGAUGGGCCCGCGGCCUAUCAGCUUGUUGGUGGGGUAAUGGCCUACCAAGGCGACGACGGGUAGCCGACCUGAGAGGGUGACCGGCCACACUGGGACUGAGACACGGCCCAGACUCCUACGGGAGGCAGCAGUGGGGAAUAUUGCACAAUGGGCGGAAGCCUGAUGCAGCGACGCCGCGUGAGGGAUGAAGGCCUUCGGGUUGUAAACCUCUUUCAGCAGGGACGAAGCGUGAGUGACGGUACCUGCAGAAGAAGCACCGGCUAACUACGU